rnacentral:rRNA from 1 species
CAGCAGCCGCGGUAAGACAAAGGAUGCAAGCGUUGUCCGGAAUUAUUGGGCGUAAAGGGCUCGCAGGCGGUUUCUUAAGUCUGAUGUGAAAGCCCCCGGCUCAACCGGGGAGGGUCAUUGGAAACUGGGAAACUUGAGUGCAGAAGAGGAGAGUGGAAUUCCACGUGUAGCGGUGAAAUGCGUAGAGAUGUGGAGGAACACCAGUGGCGAAGGCGACUCUCUGGUCUGUAACUGACGCUGAGGAGCGAAAGCGUGGGGAGCGAACAGGAUUAGAUACCCGCGUAGUCCCUGUCUCUUAUAC